CUGUCUGGCAUUCUAGGCAGAGUGCUGUGGGACCGCCCUCGUGUCUGUGGUGGUGGGAUCCCGUGGCCGUGUUUUCCUGGUGGCCUGGCC
rfam:Pan troglodytes isolate Yerkes chimp pedigree #C0471 (Clint) chromosome Y, whole genome shotgun sequence.